rnacentral:rRNA from 1 species
AACGAACGCUGGCGGCGUGCCUAACACAUGCAAGUCGUGCGAGAAAGUUCCUUCGGGAGCGAGUAAAGCGGCGCACGGGUGAGUAACACGUAGGUAACCUGCCCCCCAGUCUGGAACAACUAGAGGAAACUCUAGCUAAUGCCGGAUGAGACCACGAUCCCUUCGGGGGUUGCGGCCAAAGAUGGCCUCUACUUGUAAGCUAUCGCUGAGGGAUGGGCCUGCGGGCCAUUAGCUUGUUGGUGAGGUAACGGCUCACCAAGGCUGUGAUGGCUAGCUGGUCUGAGAGGAUGACCAGCCACACUGGGACUGAGACACGGCCCAGACUCCUACGGGAGGCAGCAGUGGGGAAUAUUGCGCAAUGGGCGAAGCCUGACGCAGCGACGCCGCGUGGGUGAUGAAGGCC